rnacentral:rRNA from 1 species
UACGUAGGCAGCAAGCGUUGUUCGGAAUUACUGGGCGUAAAGAGUGUGUAGGCGGUGCUCUAAGUUCGGUGUGAAAUCUCCCGGCUUAACUGGGAGGGUGCGCCGGAAACUGGAGUGCUUGAGCGUGGGAGAGGAAAGCGGAAUUCCUGGUGUAGCGGUGAAAUGCGUAGAUAUCAGGAGGAACACCGGUGGUGUAGACGGCUUUCUGGACCAUAGCUGACGCUGAGACACGAAAGCGUGGGUAGCAAACAGG